rnacentral:rRNA from 1 species
GGGAAACUGCCUGAUGGAGGGGGAUAACUACUGGAAACGGUAGCUAAUGCCGCAUAACGUCGCAAGACCAAAGAGGGGGACCUUCGGGCCUCUUGCCAUCAGAUGUGCCCAGAUGGGAUUAGCUAGUAGGUGGGGUAACGGCUCACCUAGGCGACGAUCCCUAGCUGGUCUGAGAGGAUGACCAGCCACACUGGAACUGAGACACGGUCCAGACUCCUACGGGAGGCAGCAGUGGGGAAUAUUGCACAAUGGGCGCAAGCCUGAUGCAGCCAUGCCGCGUGUAUGAAGAAGGCCUUCGGGUUGUAAAGUACUUUCAGCGAGGAGGAAGGUGUUGAGGUUAAUAACCUCAGCAAUUGACGUUACUCGCAGAAGAAGCACCGGCUAACUCCGUGCCAGCAGCCGCGGUAAUACGGAGGGUGCAAGCGUUAAUCGGAAUUACUGGGCGUAAAGCGCACGCAGGCGGUCUGUCAAGUCGGAUGUGAAAUCCCCGGGCUCAACCUGGGAACUGCAUUCGAAACUGGCAGGCUAGAGUCUUGUAGAGGGGGGUAGAAUUCCAGGU